UACGUAGGUGGCAAGCGUUGUCCGGAUUUACUGGGCGUAAAGGGCGUGCAGGCGGUUUGUUAAGUGCAGGGUGAAAGCUCCCGGCUCAACUGGGAGAGGUCCUUGCAUACUGGCAAACUCGAGGGAGGCAGAGGAAAGUGGAAUUCCCGGUGUAGUGGUGAUAUGCGUAGAUAUCGGGAGGAACACCAAUGGCGAAAGCAGCUCUCUGGGACGGUACUGACGCUGAGACGCGAAAGCGUGGGGAGCGAACAGG
rnacentral:rRNA from 1 species